CGCGUGAUACCCAAGCGGCAACGGGACCUGGCUGUAAACCAGGCGCUUCGGCUUCGGAGGUUCGAGUCCUCCUCACGCGA
rnacentral:tRNA from 1 species